rnacentral:tRNA from 1 species
UUCUCGGUAGUGUAAUGAAUCAACAUGGCAAACCGAAUAUCUGUAAAUGCGGGUUCAAUUCCCGCCUAAGGUU